CUUGCUUUCUUUGCUGGCGACCGGCGCACGGGUGAGUAACACGUAUCCAACCUGCCCUUUACUCGGGGAUAGCCUUUCGAAAGAAAGAUUAAUACCCGAUAGCAUAAUGAUUCCGCAUGGUUUCAUUAUUAAAGGAUUCCGGUAAAGGAUGGGGAUGCGUUCCAUUAGGUUGUUGGUGAGGUAACGGCUCACCAAGCCUUCGAUGGAUAGGGGUUCUGAGAGGAAGGUCCCCCACAUUGGAACUGAGACACGGUCCAAACUCCUACGGGAGGCAGCAGUGAGGAAUAUUGGUCAAUGGGCGCUAGCCUGAACCAGCCAAGUAGCGUGAAGGAUGAAGGCUCUAUGGGUCGUAAACUUCUUUUAUAUAAGAAUAAAGUGCAGUAUGUAUACUGUUUUGUAUGUAUUAUAUGAAUAAGGAUCGGCUAACUCCGUGCCAGCAGCCGCGGUAAUACGGAGGAUCCGAGCGUUAUCCGGAUUUAUUGGGUUUAAAGGGAGCGUAGGUGGACUGGUAAGUCAGUUGUGAAAGUUUGCGGCUCAACCGUAAAAUUGCAGUUGAUACUGUCAGUCUUGAGUACAGUAGAGGUGGGCGGAAUUCGUGGUGUAGCGGUGAAAUGCUUAGAUAUCACGAAGAACUCCGAUUGCGAAGGCAGCUCAC
rnacentral:rRNA from 1 species